UACGUAGGGAGCAAGCGUUGUCCGGAAUCAUUGGGCGUAAAGCGCGUGUAGGCGGCUUGGUAAGUCUGCUCUGAAAGCCCGGGGCUCAACCCCGGGAGGCGGGUGGAUACUGCUGAGCUCGAGUCCGGAAGAGGCGAGUGGAAUUCCUGGUGUAGCGGUGAAAUGCGCAGAUAUCAGGAGGAACACCGAUUGCGAAGGCAGCUCACUAAGCUGUAACUGACACUGAGGCACGAAAGUGUGGGUAGCAAACAGG
rnacentral:rRNA from 1 species